UACGUAGGGUGCAAGCGUUUGUCCGGAAUCAUUGGGCGUAAAGCGCGCGUAGGCGGCCCGAUCAGUCCGCUGUAAAAGUCCAGGGCUCAACCCUGGAAAGCCGGUGGAUACUGUCGGGCUAGAGUCCGGAAGAGGCGAGUGGAAUUCCUGGUGUAGCGGUGAAAUGCGCAGAUAUCAGGAGGAACACCGGUGGCGAAGGCGGAUCUCUGGGCCUUACCUGACGCUGAGGCGCGAAAGCUAGGGGAGCGAACAGG
rnacentral:rRNA from 1 species